GCCGAGGUGGCGGAAUUGGCAGACGCGCUAGGUUCAGGUCCUAGUGUUCGCAAGAACAUGGGGGUUCAAGUCCCCCCCUCGGCACCA
rnacentral:tRNA from 1 species